rnacentral:tRNA from 1 species
GCGGGAGUAGCUCAGUGGUAGAGCACCACGUUGCCAACGUGGUUGUCGCGGGUUCGAUCCCCGUCUCCCGCU